rnacentral:tRNA from 1 species
UUGCUGUAGCUUAAAACAAAGCAUAGCAUUGAAAAUGCUAAAAUGGUCCCUACCCGCCAAC